CACAGUUUUAAAUUGUACAUAUCAUGUUGGGGUCCAACCCCAGCAGGUCCAGGGGUUCCCAAAGGUGUGGACAGAGUUGGCAAAGAAGGAAUGGCACGG